rnacentral:rRNA from 1 species
AGUCUGCAACUCGACUACAUGAAGCUGGAAUCGCUAGUAAUCGCGAAUCAGAAUGUCGCGGUGAAUACGUUCCCGGGUCUUGUACACACCGCCCGUCACACCAUGGGAGUCAGUAACGCCCGAAGUCAGUGACCCAACCGAACAGGAGGGAGCUGCCGAAGGUGGGACCGAUAACUGGGGUGAAGUCGUAACAAGGUAUC